GACAGAGGGUGCAAACGUUGCUCGGAAUCACUGGGCGUAAAGGGCGCGUAGGCGGGAUGGCAAGUCAGUCGUGAAAUCUCUCGGCUCAACCGAGAAACGUCGGCUGAUACUGCCGUUCUUGAGGGAUGCAGAGGAGACUGGAAUUCCCGGUGUAGCGGUGAAAUGUGUAGAGAUCGGGAGGAACACCGGUGGCGAAGGCGGGUCUCUGGGCAUCUCCUGACGCUGAGGCGCGAAAGCGUGGGGAGCAAACGGG
rnacentral:rRNA from 1 species